rnacentral:tRNA from 1 species
ACCUGGCUGGCUUUGUUGGUAGAGCAUGCAACUCUUGAUUUCAGAGUUGUGAGUUCAAGUCCCAUGUUGGGUG